UCGAGUGUGAAACUUUAAAUAGCCCCCGUCGGUAUGAACGCAAACCAAAUAUAAAAAAGUUUCAAAUAAAUGGGGGAAAAGGGACUCUAGUAUUCUUGGGAUUUAGUUCUCAGAAAUCAUGCUGUUGCGGACCAGGGCAAUUGGAGCAUCCCCAUGCAGCACAGGCAACCAUGUUGGAGACUACAGUAUAUGUAAGGAGAUCACAGGAAAGAUUUCUGCAGCCACAUCACUCAGGUCCACCUCAUUUGCAAACGAAAAGAGGAGUUGAGGAGGACUAGUGGUCUCCUGUCGACGCUCUGCUGUCUGUCAGAGAAGCAAUCAUCUCCUUACUUCUGCCGAGGGGGGAAACAGCGACACCAAAAUCCCGCUUGUGGCCGGAAAAAUAUUACAUCCGUAGUGAUAAGAACUACCAUAGAGAAUGAAUGGGAAAAGUUAAGGGAGUUAAAGAUGACAAAUUUUUUCGGAUAAAUGCCAAUCACAUUGUGUGUAUAAUUUCAAACCAGCACAAUAAUAAAGCUCAAUAAAAUGAACAAACGGCAUGACUAAAUGGUAGCGUAUAUUAUGGAUUUAUUGUUGAAAAAGUAUAGAAGCGGAACU